AUUGAACGCUGGCGGCAUGCUUUACACAUGCAAGUCGAACGGUAACAGGCCGCAAGGUGCUGACGAGUGGCGAACGGGUGAGUAAUGCAUCGGAACGUGCCCAGUCGUGGGGGAUAACGCAGCGAAAGCUGCGCUAAUACCGCAUACGAUCUCUGGAUGAAAGCGGGGGACCGAAAGGCCUCGCGCGAUUGGAGCGGCCGAUGUCAGAUUAGGUAGUUGGUGGGGUAAAGGCUCACCAAGCCAACGGUCUGUAGCUGGUCUGAGAGGACGACCAGCCACACUGGGACUGAGACACGGCCCAGACUCCUACGGGAGGCAGCAGUGGGGAAUUUUGGACAAUGGGCGCAAGCCUGACGACGCAACGCCCCGUGGAGGAUGAAGACCUUCGGGUCGUAAACUCCUUUCGACCGAGAUGAAUUCCUGCCGACCUAAUACGUCGGCAGGGUGACAGUAUCGAGGGAAGCAGCCCCGGCUAACUCCGUGCCAGCAGCCGCCGUAAGAC
rnacentral:rRNA from 1 species